rnacentral:rRNA from 1 species
CGGCGGACGGGUGAGUAACGCGUGGGUAACCUACCCUGUACACACGGAUAACAUACCGAAAGGUAUGCUAAUACGGGAUAAUAUAUUUGAGAGGCAUCUCUUGAAAUAUCAAAGGUGAGCCAGUACAGGAUGGACCCGCGUCUGAUUAGCUAGUUGGUAAGGUAACGGCUUACCAAGGCGACGAUCAGUAGCCGACCUGAGAGGGUGAUCGGCCACAUUGGAACUGAGACACGGUCCAA